UUCAACACAUUCGUUUCGUUUUGUUUCGUCUUAGCACAAAGUGAACCGUUUCCAAAACGAUCGGAGUGCAAAAUUUAAAUUGGACAUUAUUAUUAUUUUCCCCGGGGUUUUUUCUUUUUUUUUUUUUGACAUCGAGCUGCGGGAAAUUAGGGAACCGAACUGUCCGAAAUAAUGUCAAUCUCCAUUUAAAACCGUUUUCAUAUUAUUUACCCCGAAAUUAAAAACUAUUGAAUUUAUUCGUGUAUCUCAAAAAUGAAAUUUCAAAUUGUUUUCAAAUUCAGAACGUUUUCCAUGUAGCUUAAUAUCCG